rnacentral:rRNA from 1 species
GUGAGGAAUAUUGGACAAUGGAUGGAAAUCUGAUCCAGCCAUGCCGCGUGCAGGAAGACGGCCCUAUGGGUUGUAAACUGCUUUUAUAUGGGAGCAAUAAGGUCUAUGCAUAGAUUGAUGAGAGUACCGUAUGAAUAAGCAUCGGCUAACUCCGUGCCAGCAGCCGCGGUAAUACGGAGGAUGCGAGCGUUAUCCGGAUUUAUUGGGUUUAAAGGGUGCGUAGGCGGCUUUGUAAGUCAGCGGUGAAAUUUUGCAGCUUAACUGUAAAAGCGCCGUUGAUACUGUGAAGCUAGGAUUUGGUUGCUGUGGGCGGAAUGUGUGGUGUAGCGGUGAAAUGCAUAGAGAUCACACAGAAUAUCGAUUGCGAAGGCAGCUCACAAAGCCAAUAUUGACGCUGAGGCACGAAAGUGUGGGGAUCAAACAGGAUUAGAAACCCGAGUAGUCC